GAUUGGCUGAGUUUAACCCUGCACUCUGCCUUGAGGCUGCUAUGAUUGGCUGCCUUCCGUUCAGGUUUAACCCUGCACUCUGCCUUGAGGCUGCUAUGAUUGGCUGCCUUCCGUUCAGGUUUAACCCUGCACUCUGCCUUGAGGCUGCUAUGAUUGGCUGCCUUCCGUUCAGGUUUAACCCUGCACUCUGCCUUGAGGCUGCUAUGAUUGGCUGCCUUCCGUUCAGGUUUAACCCUGCACUCUGAUUGGCUGCCUUCCGUUCAGGUUUAACCCUGCACUCUGCCUUGAGGCUGCUAUGAUUGGCUGCCUUCCGUUAAGGUUUAACCCUGCACUCUGAUUGGCUGCCUUCCGUUCAGGUUUAACCCUGCACUCUGCCUUGAGGCUGCUAUGAUUGGCUGCCUUCCGUUCAGGUUCAACCCUGCACUCUGCCUUAAGGCAGUUAGCUACUGUAUCUUUAUCCCUGGUCUAUCAGUGUUAAUCAGCUAGCUUGCAGGGUUAGCCAGCUCAGUGUUACCAGGUUUAGUAAGAGGAGAAGCAC